rnacentral:RNase_P_RNA from 1 species
ACGAUGAAUCGGGUUGCCGCCCGGAGGUUUAACCGCCGGGAGGAAAGUCCGGGCUCCGCAGGGCAUGAUGCCGGCUAACGGCCGGGGACCGUUUGCGUAAGCGGGCGGUCACAGACAGCGUAACAGAAAAGAUACCGCCCGGUUGCGACAGUACCGUCGGCCGGGUAAGGGUGAAAUGGCGGUGUAAGAGACCACCUCUUACGGCAGUAAUGCCUGAGGUGACAAGCCUCAUCAGGAGUAAAGUUAAACAGCGCGUUGGGCGGCCCGUCCGAUACGCGCGGGUAGACUGCCGAUACGUUGUCCGCAAGGGCGGCGAUAGACAGAUGGUAACCACAAGGCAUCUUUUCUGUUUAACAGGUAAGGGUGUUUUGGACAGAACCCGGCUUACAGAUUCAUCGUUUCC